rnacentral:rRNA from 1 species
UUGGAGGGCAAGUCUGGUGCCAGCAGCCGCGGUAAUUCCAGCUCCAAUAGCGUAUAUUAAAGUUGUUGCAGUUAAAAAGCUCGUAGUUGAAUUUCGGGAUUAGUACGUCGGUCGUGCCUUAGGUACGUACUGGUGUUACUGGUUCCUACCUUCUGACGAACCAUCAUGUCAUUAAUUUGGUGUGGUGGGGAAUCAGGACUGUUACUUUGAAAAAAUUAGAGUGUUUAAAGCAAGCUAACGCUUGAAUACAUUAGCAUGGAAUAAUGAAAUAGGACGUUCGAUCCUAUUUUGUUGGCUUCUAGGAUUGACGUAAUGAUUAAUAGGGAUAGUUGGGGGCAUUAGUAUUCAAUUGUCAGAGGUGAAAUUCUUGGAUUUAUUGAAGACUAACUACUGCGAAAGCAUUUGCCAAGGAUGUUUUCAUUAAUCAAGAACGAAAGUUAGGGGAUCGAAGACGAUCAGAUACCGUCGUAGUCUUAACCAUAAACUAUGCCGACUAGGGAUCGGAUGAUGUUAAUUUUUUAAUGACUCAUUCGGCGCCUUACGGGAAAC